CCGUGAACGUUUGCCAAAAGAUCUAAUAAAUUCUUAUUUUUUACAGUUUUUUUUUUUUUUAAUUUUUCUUAUAAUCAUUUACGAUUAAAAACUGUACCAGGAUCAUUCCUCUGUAAACUGCGCCAUGAGCGUGAAAUUAUUAUUUUCCUCUAAAGCAACGAUGGCAAAUGGAGAGUCAUUUUCCGUGCCAAAAUUAGGAAAAUCAGGCAACGUUCUCAUAACGCCGUGCCAAUAUACUAUUUUAAUAAAUUAGUUACCCGAAUGAAACAUAAAAUAUUCACAUUUGCGAUUUCAGUUUUCGUGUCUAUCAUCUGCACCAUAUAAAUGCGUAAAACGCUUAACUAUUACACGUAAACUUUCUUAUGGGUAUUAAUCGCUUACUUGAUUCUUUCAUCAAAAUUUUUGUUGAUAUCCAUUUAUAUGAAAAAUACGUUGCGAAUUGAAAAUACGACGGUCACCUUUUCAUUUACUGCAAAAUACAGUCGUGAAAGUGUCUAGUCCAAACCAAAUAAAGAUAUAAAUUUAAUAAAGUGCAAAUUUACUAUGGAAGUUCUGGAGUACCAGUAAAAUUCUAUCGCUUAUCAAAAUUCGUCUUUCGUUUGCCAUUACUGUUUUGAACUGUGCCGUAUGCUUGAGAAGGUUAAGAAACACUGGGUGCAAACGAAGGUAAACAAAGUACGUGUGUCUCCCGAGAUGUCCUUGUGAAAGUCACUGGCCAAGCUUGUAUAGACGAUAGUUAACGCGUAAGGGAAUCGAUCAAGAUGUAUAUAUAUAUAUACAGUGGGUGUAGAAAGUGUUCGUACACCGAUCAAUUUAAAAAAAAAACUGUGUAAAAGUGUAACCUAUUAACUUAUUUUUUAUAAACAAUGACAUUCUACAUGUUGUAGGAAAUUUCUAGAAUAGAUAGAUUACAAAAAAAAAAUAGCUAUUUAUGUAAGUUGCGAAAUUAACAAGAAAAAAACAAUUAAUCGAUAGAAAUGUUGAAGCAAUAAGUAUUCGCACAACUGUUAAAAGUAUUUUCCUGGAAAUUUGAUGUUUUCUAAUCAGGGUUUGAAUAAUAAUCAAUUACAAUUUUUAAUUAAAUAAUUGAUUUAAACAAAUUUAAUUAAAUCAACUUAAUAAAUAUUUUGAAUAAAUGUAAUUAAAAAUUAUUUAAUUAAAAUUGAAUUAAGCAGAGUUAAUCGAAAGUCGUUUAAUUGACGAUUGAUAUGAGCAGAAUUAAUUAAAAGCCAUUUUCUUGACGAUUACUUUAAACAGAAUUAAUUGAAAGCCAUUCAAUUGACGAUUAAUUUAAGCAGAAUUAAUUCAAAGGCAUUUAAUUCACGAUUACUUUAAGCAGAAUUAAUUCAAGCUAUUUAAUUGACGAUUUGUUUAUAUCUUCAAUGUUAAAAGAGAUUUAUAUAAAAUUCAAUUAAUUAUAUAAGUAACACAUAUAAAUAAACAUAUAUAUAUAUAUAUAUAUAUAUAUAUAUAAACCAAUUUGUAGCGACAAAUGCAAUAUACUAAAUACUAUUAACCUCAUCAAAAUGAGUUGCUUGUAUAUAGAAUAAUGUAUUUGUUAAAGUAAUAUACUAAAAACAUAAAGCAGUUCAGCUAAUUUGGUAUUGCCGGCAUAACCCUUUCUGUACGAGCGCCGGAUAUAUCUGGCAUCCAUCUAAUAAACUUAUAUGUGUUACUUAUACAAUUAAUUAAAUUUUAUGUAAAUCUCUUUUAACAUUGAAGAUAUAAACAAAUCGUCAAUUAAAUAGCUUGAAUUAAUUCUGCUUAAAGUAAUCGUCCAUUAAAUAUCUUUGAAUUAAUUCUGCUUAAAGUAAUCGUCAAGUAAAUGGCUUUGAAUUAAUUCUGCUUAAAGUAAUCGUCAAUUAAAUAUCUUCGAUUAAAUUUGCUCAUAUCAAUCGUCAAUUAAACGACUUUCGAUUAAUUCUGCUUAAUUCAAUUUUAAUGAAAUAAUUUUUAAUUACAUCGUUUGUAAUUAAUUGUCAAUUAAAGACGGAAAUUAAUUUUAAAAGUAAUUAAUUGUUUCCAACCCUGUUUCUAAUUCGCACGGAGCAAUAAACUAAUGUGUUUACGUUACAAACUCUGCUGUAAAUGGUUCGUCGUAAGAAUCGGACAAAUAUUUAUUGCUUCUAUACUUUUACCAACUUUUCCCAUUUUUUUGUUAAUUUCACAAAUUACAUUAACUAGUAAAUGUUGUUUGGGCUAUAUCUAUCUCAGAGACUUCCGAGAAUAUGUAAAAUAUCAUUGAUUAUAAAAAAGGAAGUUAUGAAACUACAAUUUCACAGAAAAGUUUUUUGGGAAAUUGAUCGGUGUACGAAUACUUUCUACACCCACUGUAUAUCAUCAAUAUGUAUAUAUUUUCGAAGCACGAAAAGUACCGUCGCGAGGUCACGUGGUACGUUUACCGCGUAAACCGGCAGCCAUGUUCUCGAGUUUGUUGUUAGGGUUUUCUUGGUUGGGCAUACUGACGACUUCAGAUUAGUUCAGAUUUCAGAUUGCACGACAGUGUUCGGUCGAGACGGUAAAAAACAUCAGGUCCGUGUCCGAGUAUUUUUGCAUCCAGUGCAACAAUGGAAUUAGUUUCGAAUUAUGAGAGUUGGCUGAGGCAGGUUAUCGUCGAAUUAUUCUACACGUACACCAACUCGCUCACAUAUACACAUACACGAGUACACUAUUGGUCUAUAAAUGGGUUGGUAAAAGCGGAAAAUAGAAGAACAAUGUGAAAGAUCGAUUGACUUCGUUAGGGAGUAAGUAUAAGCGUAAGAUCUUUUAUUGCUAAUAAUUUUUCCUCAGGUCAAGUCUUGAACGGUGCCUAAAACCCUUUGAUUUAAGGAACAAAUGAAAAAAAGUAAAAGAGCAAGUUCUGAAUUACGUGUCGAUGAACUUUUCUUAUAGAGAGGGCGGUUCGUUGUAAUCGAAUUUUCGCAGUGUGGUAGUUCGCGUUCGUCCUCGACAGAGAGGGAGGGAGGGAGGUAGGGAGGGAGAAAAAAAAUAAAUUAAAAAAUACACGAGAAGGGAAGGGUAUAUAAAAAUGGAAUAAUCAUUGGAGGAACAAAAGAUUCUGAUACGAUACGACGAUAAUGAUAAGAUAUACCUAUAUACAUACCGUCGAUGCGUAGAAAGUACUGUGUCAUAUACGUAUAUGAUACAUAUAAAUAUAUAUACAUAUAUACACAAACACACACACACAAAACACACAAACACACACGCGCGCGCGUGUGUUGUAUGCAAGGGUACGAACGAGUUUGUGUGAGUGCGCGCGAACGAUGCGUGGGUGCUUGUUGUGCGCGCAUGUGCGUAUAACGUUAAAGAAGAGGAUUAAUCGUAGUGCUCCGUUUAAGGAAAGCGUACAGGAUGCAAUGAAAAUUGCGUUGCAACUGGUCGUAAAAUUACAUUUUCUUAAAUGAAAAAUAAAUCUAGGUCGUAGAACAUAAUUGUUUCAUUUAAAGCCUCGUUAAAAAUGGUCGUGAACUCGGCUUGGUUUUGAUUUCCGAUAAGAAUGCAAUAAAAAGAAAAAUGGUAACGUCCAAUCAAGUAUGCCACCAUGUCGCCGACUAAAAGUAUCGAAGAUUUGUCUCGAUUAACACGUUGACCAUCAUCGUGUGCAUCGUGUUUCAUACACCGGACACGAGUUAUAAUACUCUGCCUCGAUUGUCGCGAGUGACACGCUGCGAAAUUAUAUUGCUAUGUUUUUAACGCGCUACAUUGCGGUAGUUAUUAAGUUUUUUCCCUUUUUCUUUUUAUCGAAAAUUCAAACAUAAAUAUGGGAAUAAAUGGAAAUAAUUAUUAAGCGUAGACGUUAAUUCUGUGCCUCUAUAUAUAAUUAUUUGUAACUCUGGUCCAAAUAGAUAUACUUACUCGUAAUUUUGGUACAUUCAAGUACCUACCUUCUAAAUCCUCAACCUGAUGUUAUUCUUCUACAAUUAUUAUAACUACUAGUUAUACGUGUAAUCUGUUGGGAGAAGAAUAAUAAGCAAAAUAGUAUGACUAAAGAACUUCGUAUAUGUAUAUAAAUUGUAAUGGCCAUCAGGUUGAGAAUUAGGUUAUCGUGUCGAGAACUUAGAAAAUUGGUAUUUUAACGUGACAAAAUGACGAGUAAAUAUUUCUACUUAAACUAGAAUUCCAAAAAAAAAAAAAAAAAAAUAAUAA